AAAAUGCUAAUAAAUACUUUAACGGUCCAAUAGGAUCUCACUAUCUCGGACUCAGAACAUUCAGUUCAAAUUUCCAAGAAUAAGCUAACCGUUACCCACCUGGAAGAUUAAGUACUUUACUGUAGCACCAACUUUUUUUCAAGUUCCAAACUGUCUUAUGGAAGGCUAAGGGGGACCUGCAAAAUCAAGGUAGCUACAGUAAUAGCUAACUAACGUUAGCAAGCUUAGCGAGGCUAUUUGAUGUGAGCCACUAUGACAAACAAUAGGCUACUCCAUGUACUGAUAAUUAAUGUUCUGCAAUCAAUGCGCCCUUGCAAGUGGCAUAUUUGCCGUCAAUAUAGACCUCAAUACAUAGUUAGCUAGAUGAGUUGGCUACUUGGUGGUACUCACAAUACGCAUUUGUUAUGUGCCAAAUCUCAUUGGAUUUAACGUUACUGCAGUGAGAUGCAAGUUAGGCUUGUCAGUUAGCCUGAGGUUAGUUUGAUAAACUGUGGGGGUAAUUCAGGACACAAAGCACCCAUUAGGUGUUGGGGUGUAAUAAACAGUCAUUUUUACAAGCAGACAGAGAAGUAGAGUGGGUGGACUCCCUUGGUCAGUUGGUGCAGGCCAAACCUUAAACUUGGAAUCAUCUGUAGUUACACCACUAUAUCUAAUAUUACUUAACCUAUUUCCUCAGACUCUCACCAUUUUCACUGUUAUAAAAAGGACUUUAUAAAAAUAAAUUGGAUUGAUAUGCUUAAGGAGAUAGGCCUGGUCAGCUACUUGGACAUUACUAGGUCUAACCAAACUAUAUUUAAGUUGACCCUGGGUGUCACCCAGAUAGCUAGUUUAGUCGGUGUGAGAUGGAUGUAGAUAUAAAGCCAGAGGAGGAUGAGAUGGAGAUAUCCCACCUGUCAUUUUGUCUGACUCUUUUAAUGCAAGUUAUUCAUAUGCCGAAAAUUGGUAUGACACAACAAAACAAAGCCUUAUUUGUGCUCCGUUAGAAGAUACAAAAUCAAGUGAUAGGGAGAUUAAAAUUAAUUCAACAACAGUUGGUGCUCCAGCUGUAAAUGUGGGUGGUAAAGGUGUUGUCCAUGUUCACACAGAACAGGAUAACCCAAGCACCCCUGUAGGGAAUUUAAUCAAAGGUAAGCCAUGUUUUUACAUAUCUCCCAAUGAUAUUCAGAUUGGAAAAGUAUGUACCUGUUCUCAGUCGCAACAUUAGGUUGCAGAAAGUGUUUAUUUGGGAGGACAAAUCAACCCAACUGCACAGAUAUUUAGCAGCUUUCAAAUACAGCCACUAAACAAUGAUCAAGUGCUGACUGAUUAUGUUAAUCUCCCAAGUCAAAGUAUUGCCAAACCGUUUCUGAUCAUUUCACCUGCAAUAGCAAGGGACAGUAAUUUAACUCCAGUGAUGCAAGCAUGUCAUAUGAGGACUCACAGGCCUAUUCUUCCAGCCUAUUGUAAACCAUUUACUUCUACCUCUGUUCAAGAGGAAGACUACGACGUUAAAAUUAAAAAAAGAGGGAAGAAAAUGGUCAAGGCACAAAAAGGGAGAAAAUAUGGAGAUCUGUGGCGACAUCGUGUUAAUUACUCAAAACAUAUUUCGCAAAGGUCAGCUGGAAAAAAGUUGAAGGAUCCAUACUCCAACUGCAAGAAAAUUGGCUUGAAUUUCAAUGUUGGGUCUGGAUCCAAUCAGAAACUAGAUGUGCAGUUGCUGACUAAAGGUGUGAUGGUUGAGGUUUUGCUAAAGAAGUUAAUAGAGCUCAGCAGCAUGUUGUCUGUGACAUUCUAGAGUACAACUUUGAUCUUGGUUUGCAAAAGCAUCAAAGGUAUGAUUUUGCGACACGUACUAUGCACAAAUUAAGAGAAUUGAUGAGAAUCCGAAAAACUGUUCUAGGAAAACCUGAAUUGGUAAUGGAGGUGUUUACCCUUCCUGAUCCCAACACGAUAAAAGGUUCAAAAUAUGCCCUUUCAACUGCAAAGAAUUAUGACCGUGUGUCAGAAAAUCUUGAACCUGCUGACACGCUCUUAAUGGACAAAUCUCAUCUGGACAUCGUAUCCAGACUUACUCAGCAUUUCAAGACAGACAACCUGUUAACUGAGAAAGAUGUAACGCCGUGUACUGGUGGAACGGCGUACAGCCUUGCAAGGGAACAAAACGGGCAUCUAAUGGCCUCUACAAUAUCAAAAACAAUGAAGGACCCCUAUCCCCUCUGUAAGAAAAUAGGAUUAGAACUUGAUGUGAAAUCCAAUUUUGGGGCAAAAGAGAAAUGUAAUUUGGAAUUAUUGACCAACAGUGUAAUGAUUGAACUUGGUAAUUUUGCCAAAGAUGUUUGUGGAACUUACAAGCAAAUUGUCAUUGAUGUCCUAGAGCACAAUUUUGAUCUUGAUUUGCCUAUUGAGAAAACCAAGCUGUCUACCUAUAUUAUUACAAAGUUGAGACGAGUUGUUAAGAAAAUGACAUGCAUGGCACAUAGAAGGAAACCUCCAUAUUUAAAGGAAUCAUUCUCACUGGGGGUUGGCACAAGAAAGAAACCUGCAGUGAUUUCCAGUAAAAUGUAGGUCAUUAACUCAAUUGACUCAAUUGUGUGGAAAUAUCAAGGACCGAAAAAAGUAACAGAAAGAAAACGAUUCGAUUUGAGAAGGAAAAAGGGAGAAAGAGCCACUUGCAAAGUAAGAGACACAAAGGCAGAGAAAUUUCAUAGAGGUAGACGGGUAGGCCUAGUUUCUCAGUCUGUGAAGAAACAGACCAUCUCCAACGAGACUGGACUCACAUUGUCAGCUGGAAAAACGAAGGUCCCUGUCAGCAAAAUUAAAAAGGCAAACCUUUUUAAGCCUUUUGCAGAGAAAGUGGUGAAAAGCCUUUUGCAGAGAAAGUGGUGAAAAACUGCUACCCCUUGUGCAAAGAAGUAGGUGUGGAACUUGAUGUGAGAUCCAAACCACCAUCCAAAACAAAACUUGACUCACAGUUACUGACAAAUGGCGUAAUGUAUGAGGUUCAUAAGUUUGCAAAAAAUACAAAAAAGGCUUAUAUGUAUACUGUCUAUGAUAUACUGGAAUAUAAUUUUGAUCUAGAUUUGCAAAAUCAGAAACGCUGUCAAUUUGCCAUACAUAUUUCAUCUAAACUGAAACGAAUGGCUAAACGGAAACAUGUCACAAAUGAAGACUUUUCAAAAGAAGUGUUUAUAAUACCGCUUUUGACUAGACAAUACAAGAAAAAAGAAGCUACUCCACCUGCAAGAUUGUCAAAAAGACAAUUGGAUUUGAAAAGGAUACAAGAGGCAGACGAUACAGAGGAGAAGAUUAACUAUCAGAAGAUGGUUAACAAGACCGGUUUGAAAUAUCUGGUCGCUGAUGUAUGGUCUCUGCAUGCUGAAGAGAUCAUCUCUAUCGAAACAGAUGAAACUGUCAAGCUUGGCCAAGAUAAUGGACCCACUGACUUCUGCUUAAAGGAGUCUGACGUUCACCCUGGGGUCACAGAGCAAACCCCAUACCCAGAGAACUACCAAGUUGACAUUUGCAGGAAAAUGAUCAAUGAAAUUGUUACGAGUGGUGAAAUGCAACAGAUGAGAUGGAUUUUUGUAACCAUUUCAAAGUGUUUUGGUGCUGGGACUGGUUCCGAAAAGAAAUUUGAACAAAUCCUCGCUGAAUACAGAUCAGACAUCCUACCACUGAUGGUUGAGAAACAUUGUGGCUUUAGUUCCACUGAAAAGACAAUGAUGUGCCUUGUAAGUCAGCUCUUUUGUGGCUUACAUUUGAUUGAUGGCUUUGCUCACCAGGCAAAAACAAGUCUUCUACUUUGGGAAAAUAUGAUUUUAGGAGAUAAGGAAGUAGGAGUCCAUAGCUCCCCUAACAUUGGGACAACAGAGUAGGAGUCUGGAACAGUGCGUUUGGUGAGUUCUGUGAGUGAUGCUGUGCAAGAGCUUGGAUGGGCAGAGGACGGUCAGCUUAUUCCAUUCGAAACCUUUUUGACCAGCAAAAAAUAAUUUGAUGAAGUUCCUUUGUCUCUAUCCAUUGGACAUAGAAUUGAUGGUCUGUUUCAUAAUUCUGCUGGGGUGUAUAGCAUCCAUGAUGAUUUGGUUGAAUUUACCAGUACGUACGGAGCUGAGAGUAGUUUGCUUGCCACAGUUGUUGCUGAUUUGGAGGUUCAACAGUUCAAGGCCGGAUGCAGAGCUCUGGGUCUGGUUUCAAAGCUUAUCAUUGAUCCUCUCUGGAGAGCCUUAACUUUGAAGGGAAACGUGUUGGAGAUGGAAGAAAGAUACCAAACCCUUGUUACCAAACUCAAGGAAUGGCAGGAAGAUGGGAGAGACCUUGUUGAAGGAAAUUCAUGCUUGUUUGAUGAAAUUGAGGUACCCAAGAACCUUGUGUUUGACAGGCUUACCAUGUGGACCGACACAGACUUUUUUGAGUUGACUGUUCAGAUUGUUGAGUUGAUCCUAGCCAGUUUUCUGAAGGUAUGUUCUAUGAUGCUUCCAGUCGAUUUAGAGCUCCUGACACAAAAGAAUGAUCGAUUCAGAAAGGAUUUGGCAAUAUUAGAUCAAUUGCAAAAAGCUAAGUCAAAUGCAGUCAGUAUUGCCAUUGAAGGCAUGGACAUGUGCAAGAAGAAUCACACUUGGGAAUGGCUGUCCUUUUUGGAUGAACCAAAAAUAGUGUCAAUGAGGAAAACAUUCCAGACAGUGUAGGCAAAGGAAGAAGAAAAGCUCUCUGCCACACCUGCAGAAGAAUGAAAAUGGUAAAGGAAUAGACAUGACAGACAGAGUGAGUGAGUCUUUUACGUGUUUAUUUAUUUACUAAUGAACCACAGUAGGACUAUACAGGACAUAACCUUUUUUUAUAACAGGUUUAACUUUGCCCCUGUAACCUGGUGAUGACAUUGCCUAUACAGCUCUUUCAAAAAUGUUGCAUGAACGUGAUUUUCUUUCUAGCACCUUAACUUUUGUGUUCAGACUGGUGAAAGAUAAACAGCAAUGCAACCUCAGACAAUAAGUAGAUGCAAGUAUAAUAUAGUUACACUAUAUACCUAUUUUGUGAUAUAUUGUAUAGCCUAAUGAUGUUCAAACGCGGUGUCAGUGAAUGUUGAAUGUCAAAUAACGCUUAUCCAUCAUCCAUGCUUCGGCUCAAUGGUUGAAUUUGCAUAUUUCCUUGGCCUUCUUUUGAUGCCUGGUCUUCUUUUUGAAAAGACUAAUUGAAUGAAAAAAAAUCUAAUUUUGAAAGGAGACCAGUCAUUAUUUGAGUGUUAUUAGCUUAUUUCUGGACCAUUUUUCCCCUCACUUUUUUGUAUGACCAUUGAAUUGCCUACUUGAAUGGUCAUCUUAAAUAGAAACAAGAUGGAGAGCAAGGCUCUGAAAGUUGUCAACUUUUCCACUGUUCAAAAUGAAUCAUGCUUUAUUUUUUUAAAUACCUUUUUUUAAAUCAUAUUUUGGUAAUCCGUUUUUGAGAGCCUGUUUUAUCUCUAUAUUUUUGUUGGAGAUCAAGAUGUUUUCAUUAGGACAAAUGCACUGCAGUGCUUUUCUAUCUGCUGCAACAUUCAACGUUGCACAUUUCUGUAGACUUCAGGAAGAACAUGCUUUUAUAUAUAAACAUCAAAUAAUUUGCAAAAGGCCGAGUUCCAGGUUUGUGAUGUCCACCAUGAGAGAUUCUCAUUAAAGUUGAACCAGUGACUAGUCUCAGAUGGGGAGCUGGACCUCUUGAAGACCAAGCUAGACUGGCAGGCCUGUGGAUCUCUUGUUCUGGGCUACUAAGAGGUGCUGCCAGAACUGGACUCGGCACUAUCAAUUCACAGACCACCACCUACAGCCCCUGCAUACAAACCUGCACAUAGGACAAGUGCUGGGCCUCAGUCACAACGUCAUCACUGAUGCUCUGACUGAAACUAGCCUACACCAACUGGUCUUUGCCAACUGUUCCACUAACCUACCGUAUAGUGUGCAUUGGAGUGCUUGCCUGUGAUUGAGAAAGCGUGCGAUGUAGCCUCUUCAACAACAGACUUGCAAACAGAACAUCCUUCCUGACACACAAGACAAGAGUUCUGAGGUCUUGUAAUGAGGGAUGAGAGGACUGCCAAUAGAUUAAACUGAUUCAUUACUUUGAUCAGUCCUACUUUCAACACUUCAUAAUAAAAAUGUACUCUGAUUGCCCACUUAGGCUUGCAUGGAUUUCAGUGGAGUUAAACAUGACACAUGCAGUGUCACUGUUUCGGGGCUACGAGAAGGGGUCGAGAAGGGGCUACGAGAAGGGGUCGAUUUGGAAUUCAGCACUGUCCAUGGGUUGACCGACCUGAACCUUUUUUUUUUCUUAAAUGCUUUUUUUUUCUUCACAGUACAGCUGGAAAUGUAAAGAUUGAAAUAUAGUAGGGGCAUAGACAGAGGGUGGCCGAGGUGGGGCCCAAUCCCUGUUGCCAGGGGGCCCAAUCCCUGUUGCCAGGGGGUAUAUCUGGUACAGAGUCGGGGAGCUUAGACCACUAUACUAGACUCCGUCAUGACUGACCUGCACUUUUUACCAGAACAGGAAUACUGUGUUCAUCAGAUUCUCCUCACUGUAAAACUCAGAAUGGUCUGAGGGACCACAGACUCACAAAACAUUGUAGCUCACCUGACUGGAAAACACAGCUCUUGGUGGUGCCAAUGUCUGACAUGAAACAAAAAUUAAAACACAACAGAUAAUUGCUCUCUACUUCCUACCACAAUCUUAUAUAUUACAUACUUAGAAUACACUCAUAUUAGGCCUAUUUCUCUUUGGUUGGGGAAUUCAAUGGAAUUCAAGUGGACUAGCUACCACUAUGGCAUUUUGAUGUUAUGGCGCCAGCGCUGGCUGGCUGAGAAGACAAGUAAAUGGGCUAAUAGCUGGCAGGGCAAUUUGAGUUUUUCCAACUUUGUAUUACCGUAUCAAAUAAUUUAAUGAAGGUAGAAAAAUAACUUUAUAUCAGUGUUAUGCAUGUUGUUCAAGCGUGUAACUGCCCUCUCAUUCGCUAGAAUGGUCCCACCUGAUCUCGCCUCCUCCCGACUUCCUUCCAUCUUUGAAGACAUGUAUUUUCAUUGUUAGAGUGGCCACUUGAGUAUCUUAUCUAUAUAAUUGUCAUGACUGUCGCUCCUUGGUGAGGAUUAAAGGUGCCGGAUCAGCUAGGCCAAUGGCUGACAGCCAAACUCUCUCUCUCCUGGGGGAGUUGGCCCGGUUUUAUGAUUUAACGACCGGAUUGUAAAUACCUGGCAGAAACUCUCCCUUUGGCUCUGCAGUAUUGAAUGUCUGAGUGUUACAGAGAGACUCUUGCUAAAAACUUUAACAUCCAAAGAUUUGACAUUGGAACAUUAGUUUUGAAAUCCAAACGCUUGGAAUGGUUGGUGGGUUUAUUAUUUUGAUGGUGUAACAUUGUAACUUUAAGAGCUUUCACAAUGUAUUGAUCAGAUUUGCAUCUAAAUGUUGUAUAAAAUAAAUGAUUAAGUAUAAGAAUACUGUUGUGAAGAUAAAAUAUGAUUUUAGCCUUCUAAAUGAGAAUUGUUUUUCAUAUAAACAUUUACUAAGUCAGUAACCACGUCCACAUGAGCACAGACUUCGUGUCAGCAUGAUGGAACGCCCCUUUUUAUGGUUAAAUCUCUACAGUUGGGUAAUUUAAAGUAGUCUAUGUAGAACAAAAGAAGAACAGUUCCCUAUCACCACUGUGAUACACCUCUGAUGGAUCCAUUCUAACGAACACUCCAGAACAAAAGAAGCCUACAACUAGAAAUUGUGACCUCUGGUGGGCCACCAGAGACUUACAGCGAGCCACCGCAUUGAACUAUUGAGUUCAACAGAGAGACGACAGAGAAAGACAUCUACGCGUAAAUAUGUAUUGCAUUCCUUUUCUGAAUGAGUGGUUGUUAGGGUACUAAAUAUCCAUAUUUACAGUGAGUGUGUUUUUCAACUGUAUGUACGAUAAUUCCACUCUCUUUGUCUCUCCUGCUCCUUAUCUUUCCCCACCCCCUUUCCAUUGUGUAACAAGCUGUCAUAUCGGGUUAGUCCACUAGGGACUGUGUUUCAUUGCAUUACGUUAGUAAUAAAUAAUCUACACUGUG